ACACGAGAAGGGAGGUGGUCCAAACUUUGUAUGCUCAUAGGACUCGUGAGGUGACUGUCCGCUAGCCGGUCUCGUGGUCCUCACCUCUAGCCGGGUGGCCCACGGGCACCGGCACCGGCGAGUACCAGGCAGAUCACCCGACCCCCGGGCUGCCGUCGACAAGUCCCGACGGCCCGUUGUCCGCAUCGCGCGGCGACGGAGGCACCCGGGGGUCGCUCGUU
rnacentral:sRNA from 1 species